UCCUCUCCUUUUUCCCCUCUGGAACCACCCCUGCCUUUUGGCCACAGGAGCGUGUGUUGAGAAAGGAUGAUAAGCUUGGCUUCUGCUCACUUUAGCUGAAAGGAUAUGGAUUUGGGUUCAGGCCUUCACACUUUGGGUGAGAGGUGGGAGGGCUUUGAGGUCAGCUGCCCCUUCGGUCCCAGCCUAAUCCCCUUACAAAUGACCUGAGAUUGCGCUGGGUUAUGUUCUCCAACCACCUGCUGUACCUUUUCUCUGUGAUUUGGAAGCUUGAGAAGAUAUGAGUGGCCCAGAGAGCGAGUGGGUGCCAGGCCAGAUCCUCUCCUAGCCCCCAAGGGGAGGCAGAGUGGAAUUCACUUUCCGGGGUGGAGCACACAGAGUGGAGAAAGGAGUUCUCUAAGAGUGACAAGACACCAAGAGUGUGAUGGAUGGAUUCUUUACCCACUGAGCUACCCUCAUGGUUACCUGCUAAGUGUCUGCCCUGAGGUCCUGAUCAUCCCUUUGGAGUUUUUAGUAAAAGACUGAAAAAUAAAAUGUUGUGGACUUUAACA
rnacentral:lncRNA from 1 species